GAGAGGACCGGAGUGGACGCAUCACUGGUGUUCGGGUUGUCAUGCCAAUGGCACUGCCCGGUAGCUAAAUGCGGAAGAGAUAAGUGCUGAAAGCAUCUAAGCACGAAACUUGCCCCGAGAUGAGUUCUCCCUGACCCUUUAAGGGUCCUGAAGGAACGUUGAAGACGACGACGUUGAUAGGCCGGGUGUGUAAGCGCAGCGAUGCGUUGAGCUAACCGGUACUAAUGAACCGUGAGGCUUAACCUUACAACGCCGAAGGGGUUUUG
rnacentral:rRNA from 1 species